AUGGCUGCUCUCCUCCGCACGGCGGCCGCCCUUGCGCCCCGCCCUUCGCCUGCCCGCGAGUCCCCGCGCCGGCCGUGCGCUGCGUCCCUCGCCUGCUCCCGCCGGCCGCCGGUGCGGUCGCUCCGCGCCCAGUUGCUUACGACCCGUCGCGCUCCGGGCCACGUCGCGAGCCGGCUGCAGCGAUUGGGGGCUACCGAGGCCGACGAGUUUGCGCAGACGGCGACGCAGGAGGAUACAGAAACUGAAGUUACUGGGGACACUCUUGCCGAUGAUGCUUCUGCGGUCACUGAAGAGACUCCCUCUGUUCUCAUCACAGCAUUGCAAUCAUACAAAGAAGCUUUGAUGAACGAUGAUGAAGCAAAAGUUGCGGAGAUAGAGUCCUUUCUACUUUCUAUUGAGGAUGAGAAAAAUUCUCUAAUGAGCAAAAUCACUGCUUUAGAUGCAGAAUUGACAACUGAGAGAGAUCGUAUCUUGCAGAUUGGUGCUGACUUUGAUAACUACAGGAAGAGGACAGAAAGAGAGAAGCUUUCUUUGAUGACAAAUGUGCAAGGAGAAGUUGUUGAGAGCUUGUUGCCUGUUCUUGACAACUUUGAAAGAGCAAAAACACAGAUAAAGGUGGAAACAGAGCGUGAAGCUAAAAUAAAUGACAGCUACCAGAGCAUUUAUAAGCAACUUGUUGAAAUUCUGAAUUCACUGGGUGUUGAAGAUGUGGAAACUGUUGGCAAACCUUUUGAUCCUAUGCUUCAUGAGGCUAUUAUGCGAGAAGAAUCGGUGGAAUAUGAAGAUGGGGUCGUCCUCCAGGAAUUCCGCAAGGGUUUCAAGCUUGGCGAGAGAUUACUACGUCCGGCGAUGGUCAAGGUGUCUGCAGGACCAGGCCCUGAAAAGUCGGGAGAUGACGAUACUACAAUAGGUGAAGAUAGUGUAGGGCCUCAAGCGUUCGACGACGGUGAAGACGAUGGUUUUGAUGAUGCCGAUGCCGAGUAA
rnacentral:rRNA from 1 species